rnacentral:misc_RNA from 1 species
GAUGAAGAACGUAGCGAAAUGCGAUACGUAAUGUGAAUUGCAGAAUUCAGUGAAUCAUCGAAUCUUUGAACGCAUAUUGCGCUCUCUGGUAUUCCGGAGAGCAUGCUUGUUUGAGUAUCAGUAAACACCUCAACUCCCUUUCUUCUUGAAAUGGAGCUGGACUUGAGUGAUCCCAACGCUUUAUUCAUAAAGUGGCGGGUUACUUGAAAUGCAGGUGCAGCUGGACUUUUCUCUGAGCUAUAAGCAUAGCUAUUUAGUCUGCCUCAAAACAGAUUAUUACCUUUGCUGCAGCUAACAUAAAGGAGAUUAGUUCUUGUGCUGACUGAUGCAGGAUUCACAAAGACCGCUUCGGCUGUCUUUGUAAACUCGAUCUCAAAUCAAGUAAGACUACCCGCUGAACUUAAGCAUAUCAAUAAGCGGAGGA